GGAAAAUGGAGGAAUUAGGGAAAAAAGGGAGGAAUUGGGGAAAAAAGGGAGGAAUUGGGGAAAAAAGGGAGGAAUUGGGGGAGGAAGGCAGGAAUUGAGGGAGAAGGGAGGAAUUGAGGGGGAAGGGAGGAAUUGGGGGGAAGAAGGGGGGAGCGAGGUAGGUAGCAAGAAAGGCGGGAGAUAAAGGAAUCAGGGAGGGAG